rnacentral:rRNA from 1 species
UGGCUCAGGACGAACGCUGGCGGCGUGCUUAAUACAUGCAAGUCGAACGGUAAGGCCCUUCGGGGUACACGAGUGGCGAACGGGUGAGUAACACGUGGGUGAUCUGCCCUGCACUUCGGGAUAAGCCUGGGAAACUGGGUCUAAUACCGGAUAGGACCAUGGACUUCACGGUUUGUGGUGGAAAGCUUUUGCGGUGUGGGAUGGGCCCGCGGCCUAUCAGCUUGUUGGUGGGGUAAUGGCCUACCAAGGCGACGACGGGUAGCCGGCCUGAGAGGGUGUCCGGCCACACUGGGACUGAGAUACGGCCCAGACUCCUACGGGAGGCAGCAGUGGGGAAUAUUGCACAAUGGGCGCAAGCCUGAUGCAGCGACGCCGCGUGAGGGAUGACGGCCUUCGGGUUGUAAACCUCUUUCAAUAGGGACGAAGCGCAAGUGACGGUACCUAUAGAAGAAGCACCGGCCAACUACGUG